rnacentral:tRNA from 1 species
CACUACUCAGUUGGUAAAGUAUAAGGCUCUUAACCUUGUGGACGUGGGUUCGAGCCCAUGGUGA